AGGCCGAAUAGUUGGGAAGUCUGAGCUCAGUCACUGCCCAUUUGUGCAAACUGAAAAUAUGCUUGAUCUUCUGAGACUAGUCCAGCUGCUAACAAAACAAACUUGUGUAAACUAAAAUAGUAACAACUUCUACUAGCUACAGUUGAUGGAAUUUGGUGAAAUCAGUCUCCCUUUGCUCCUAUAGUCAGGAUUCAUAGAUGAAGUACAGAUUCAGUCAAUUCUCUAAAUGCUACAAACAUCUGAUUUACCUCCAAACCUCAAGAAGGCUCAUAUUACAGUCUAUAGCAGCCACUGAAAGGAUGGCCUACACUCGGAAAUGAAGCGACAGUGGAGACCUGUCUGCACAUCUCCAGAACAAUGACUGCACUGUACAAUCUGCCAGGGAGAAGCCAAUGCCUACCAUGCUCUGCUCUCUCUCCCUGCUCACCAUGCCCCUUUUUGCUCACUGCUCUCUGCUCCCCCCUCGCCACUCCCUCUCUGCUCACUGCCUGCCAUUCUCUUUCCUCUGCACUUAAAUUCUCUCUGCUCAUCUCACUUUGUCUGUACAGCUCUGUUCACUCUCAUUCUUCCUGCCCCUCAGUGCAUUAUCCCUGCAUCCCUACCCCCUCAUUCAUUCUCUUUCCCUCAUUCAUUUUCCCUUUCCCCUCAUUCAUUAUCACUGUCCCCUCAUUCAUUCCCUAUCCUAAUUAAUUAUCCCUGUCUCUUCACUAAAUCUUCAUGCCUUCUAAUUCAUUCUCCCUGCCCCCUCAUUCAUUCUCCCUGCCCCUCAUUCAUUCUCCCUGCCCCUCGUUCAUUCUCACUGCCCCUUUCAUUCGUUCUUUGUACACCAUUCACUCUCUUCCCAGUCUCACCACCCCUUUUCACUUCCAGUCAGUCUGUUCCCUUGCUCUUCUCACUUUCAGCUCCUGGUUCAUCAUUUUUCUUCAGUCCUUUCCCCAAUUUCAUGCCCUCAGGCUUUUUGCCCAACGCUGCCACAGAUCCAUUCAUUCUGAAGCCAGGCCCCCAAAACAUUGACUGAUCCGCCACAAUGAAACCAGCCUGUCACUUCAUUGGCAUUUGGGAAAAUAAAGAAUAAUGUUGUUAUGCUCUUGAUAAUUUGCGCAUCUAUAGUCAUUGUAGAUGAGAGAUCAAGAACAAGACAAAGC